rnacentral:misc_RNA from 1 species
UCAUGCAAUUGAUCAAGAUUGAACUCCCUAACCUUGAGAAGGUCAUUAAUGAGGGGGUUUUCCCUUUCUGAAUUGAAUAGAAAAAAAAUUGUGCUCAUUUUACAUUGAUAUCCAGUAUCAAUAGAUUCUUUUAAUUGUUCAUUAUGAUCAAUGUUUCCUAUUCCUGGCAAAUAGUGAAAUUUCUGCAUUUAGUUGCGUAAUUCCACAAGUUUUACAGUUAUGGCCAUCCAUCCUUUCAUUGGGUGGGGUGUGGGAACCUCCUUUUAUCUAAGCCAGAGGUGGGUAGCCGCUCGGAAACUCCCAGAGCACAUAGCAAAAAGAAGGGUAGGGAAAGAAAAAAGGAAAACCAAAGCAGCCUAGUGACUUAAAAGUCCCAACUAUUAUUGUGCAAAUCAGCUCUAUAAGUAGACCUGUUGUUGCUGCUGCUUGAUUUUGGGAUUGCUAUUGGGCAGGUUGUUGUGGACAUGGAAUAACAGGCGGCUUCUUAGGAAGUGGGGGAACUUGGGGGAUAAACUUCUAGUGGCAAUGGCUAUUUGAGGUUGGAGUUUUGGGCCUGUGGGGACGGUGGGAAGAGAGAGGAGGGGUGGAUGUGGGAGGAGAAACUAGAAAGCAAUAAAAAAUAAUGUUUUAUUUAACUUAGCAUUAAAAUUAUACAUUAUUUUUUUCAAUUUGAGGGAGAUCGCUAAAAUUGAUACUAAUAUGAAAGGUUGAUGGAAGAAUUGAUAAAAUUAAAAGAAUGGCUCAAAAGCACAAACAUUAGGAACUUUUUUUGGGUCACUAGGCCAAAAAAUAAUAUCAGAAAAGAAAAGAAAGCAUAGCAAAACAAAAUAAAGCUCCUAGAG